AUUGAACGCUGGCGGCAGGCCUAACACGUGCAAGUCGAGCGGAUGAAGGGAGCUUGCUCCUGGAUUCAGCGGCGGACGGGUGAGUAAUGCCUAGGAAUCUGCCUGGUAGUGGGGGAUAACGUCCGGAAACGGGCGCUAAUACCGCAUACGUCCUGAGGGAGAAAGUGGGGGAUCUUCGGACCUCACGCUAUCAGAUGAGCCUAGGUCGGAUUAGCUAGUUGGUGGGGUAAAGGCCUACCAAGGCGACGAUCCGUAACUGGUCUGAGAGGAUGAUCAGCCACACUGGAACUGAGACACGGUCCAGACUCCUACGGGAGGCAGCAGUGGGGAAUAUUGGACAAUGGGCGAAAGCCUGAUCCAGCCAUGCCGCGUGUGUGAAGAAGGUCUUCGGAUUGUAAAGCACUUUAAGUUGGGAGGAAGGGCAGUAAGUUAAUACCUUGCUGUUUUGACGUUACCAACAGAAUAAGCACCGGCUAACUUCGUG
rnacentral:rRNA from 1 species